CUGAAUGGACUUGUAGGCUCUAAAGUUUUAUGUUGUUUUUGAGUGCAGUUAUGUAACAAAGGACAGGGUGGGCCCGUUAGUCAAUGAGAAGGGAAAGAUAAUAACAGAAAAUGUGGAAAUGGCAGAGGUGUUUAAUGACUUCUUUGUUUUUGUUUUCUCUAAGAACGUUGGUGGUGAGUGGACAUCUAACCUAGUGAAUGCCAGUGAAAAUGAGGAGGCUUUACUUCAGGAACUAAUUCAAGUGCAUUUUGCCAGUGCUGAGGUACUUCAACAAAAUCUCUGUAAACCCUGAUCUGUAGAACUGAUCCUAUGGGAAUAUUGUGCAAAAGUUGCCAAAGCUCUCGCAGUGUCCAUCCUAAAACGUUAGCGUGUCCAAUUUUAAUCAAAAUAUCACCUGCCAGGGGAAAAAUUCAAGAGUGUUCAGUAUAAAAAUCCCAACUCUAGACAGUAACUCCUCACUUAAAGUCGUCCUAGUUAACCUUGUUUCAUGGUUACGUUGCCAAGCAAUUAAAAAACAUGCUCGUUUAAAGUUGCGCAAUGCUCCCUUAUAACAUUGUUUGGCAGCCACCUGCUUUGUCCACUGCUUGCAGAAAGAGCAGCCCGUUGGAGCUAGCUGGUGGAGGCUUGGAACCAGGGUGGACCAGCAGCCCCUUCAUCAGCUCCCUACUCCCCUAAGUUCCCUGUAAGGCAGCUGCCCAGCAGGCUAUCAAUUGUCGGCCAGUUCAGGUGUCCCUCCCCCCACUGCUGUGUGCUGCUCCUGCUUGCUCCUGCCCCUGCCCUCUGCCUUGGAUCUGCUCCCUGGAGCCUCCUGCUUGCUGUGCAGACGGAGGUUGGGGGGGGGGGGAAAGGGGUGCUAAUGUCAGCAUGUCCCCUUAACCCCUGCUCCUGCCCCCUGCUCCUUUACCCCAUCUCCACAGAGCAGGGGGGGCACAUGGCAGGGCUCAGGCCGGAGGGAGCUUUCUGGCAGCAGCUGCUGUCUCAACUAACUGAUCUAAUUAAAAAGGCAAUGUACUUAGGGUCAGCGUACUUAAAGGGGCAAUGUGCAUCUCUCUCUGUCACAUAUACAUGGUGUGUGUCUCUGUCUCUCUCUGCCAUGCUGUUUCCCCUCCCUCCAUUCAUGCUGCCUUGUAGAGUGUGAGGCUAUGUUAACAACAAUGUGUUAACCCUUGAGGGAUCAGCCAAGUGCUAAUUCAUCAUUUAGCAGUAAGGCAUUCCCUGGGAAAUAUCCCACCCUCUGAUUUCACCACCUCAACCAAGCUUCACAGUCAUCAUUGCUGUGUACAGUAUUAAAUUGUUUAAAACUUA